rnacentral:rRNA from 1 species
CCUACGGGUGGCAGCAGUGAGGAAUAUUGGUCAAUGGCCGAGAGGCUGAACCAGCCAAGUCGCGUGAGGGAAGACGGCCCUACGGGUUGUAAACUUCUUUUGUCGGGGAGUAAAGUGAAGCACGUGUGGCUCUUUGUGAGUACCCGAUGAAAAAGCAUCGGCUAACUCCGUGCCAGCAGCCGCGGUAAUACGGAGGAUCCGAGCGUUAUCCGGAUUUAUUGGGUUUAAAGGGAGCGUAGAUGGAUUGUUAAGUCAGUUGUGAAAGUUUGCGGCUCAACCGUAAAAUUGCAGUUGAAACUGGCAGUCUUGAGUACAGUAGAGGUAGGCGGAAUUCGUGGUGUAGCGGUGAAAUGCUUAGAUAUCACGAAGAACUCCGAUUGCGAAGGCAGCUCACUAAACUGCAACUGACACUGAUUCUCGAAAGUGUGGGUAUCAAACAGGAUUAGAUACCCUGGUAGUC